rnacentral:tRNA from 1 species
UAAAAUGGGUGGCGUAAUAAUAGAUUAAGCGUGUGCGAUUUCGGCUCGUGAGGUGUAUCAAGGUAUACUCCAUUUUAA